AUGUGUCAUCCUUUUGCCUCUAAGAUCUAUGUCGUGAUACCCUCCGGUCUAAGCCACUUAUGAUGGCCUUCUAACGCCUGAAACAAUGCUUUGGUGUCACUUAUGAACAUCACAAGUCCAAUUCCAAGGUUGUGAAGGACAAAAGAAAAAGGGGACAUGUAACUAUACGGGGAGAUUGUAGUAGGAUUUUAUUUGCCCAGUCACUAUCUGAUAGGUUCAAAUAAUGUAAAGUUAUUGGGAGCUUGUAGUUGGAUGGUUUCUCGAGUCAUUUAUCUGGUGGGUU